GUGGGGAAUAUUGGACAAUGGGCGAAAGCCUGAUCCAGCCAUGCCGCGUGUGUGAAGAAGGUCUUCGGAUUGUAAAGCACUUUAAGUUGGGAGGAAGGGCAGUAAGUUAAUACCUUGCUGUUUUGACGUUACCGACAGAAUAAGCACCGGCUAACUUCGUGCCAGCAGCCGCGGUAAUACGAAGGGUGCAAGCGUUAAUCGGAAUUACUGGGCGUAAAGCGCGCGUAGGUGGUUUUGUAAGUUGGAGGUGAAAUCCCCGGGCUCAACCUGGGAACUGCCUCCAAAACUGCAUGACUAGAGUACGGUAGAGGGUAGUGGAAUUUCCUGUGUAGCGGUGAAAUGCGUAGAUAUAGGAAGGAACACCAGUGGCGAAGGCGACGACCUGGACUGAUACUGACACUGAGGUGCGAAAGCGUGGGGAGCAAACAGGAUUAGAAAUCCCAGUAGUCC
rnacentral:rRNA from 1 species